GUCCGCGCGCGCGGGGCGGCCGCGGCGGUGAGCCUGCGCGUCAGGGCCGCCGGCCUCUCCUUGGCUGUUGGAGGUGAUAGGGGUCGAGGGGAGGGAAAAAGGGGCUGGCGUCAGCCGCCCCUGUGAGGUGGCCGUAGCGUGGACGAGUAAGAAGGGUUGAGUAAAGUGGACAAACACCUGGUUAGGAGAAGAGGGCAGGCCCGCAGCCGCCCUCCGGAGGAGGACUCGGGGCCUCGCGGGCGCCGGAGGAGGUUCCUGGGCCUCGGAGGGCCGCCCCGGCGCGCCGCCCCGGCGCGAGCGGGCGCGGGCGGGGGAGGGGAAGUGAGAGGUUGUUUAUGACCGGGGACUAAUCUCCUCCGCGAGUCCCAGCGCUCCCUCUGGGGAGUGCGGUUGAGGGGCUGUCCUCGCACGGAGCCUCGCUCGGCCUCGGGGGAGCCACGAGAGGUGGGAGUUGGACCCGCAGCGGGCCAGGAGCCCUGUCAUUGGAGGACCCGCCAAAAAGGAAGCAAACCCUCUUUUUCUUUAUCCAACCCCAAAUAGCUAGGGCCUAGGGGGAAGACUCACAUAUCGAUAAAUGGUUUGUUGCCCGUUUUAUUCUCUGGGAAAUACAACUGAUCUUACCAAAGAAAUAACCUGUCUCUUGCCGUGUUUACUUAGAGCCAUAGAAUACCUGUUUCAGAGCUGAAGGGGACCUGAGCCCAUGAUAAUCCAUUACCUCGUGAGAAAGCGGAAAAACUGACUUCAGCUUGCCCAGAUGGCGCAGAGAAUGGGUUUCCCGUAACCCCGCCUGUGUCUUUCCUUCAGCCUCGUCCCAAAUGCCGUGGGAGGGAAGGCACUCUCUGUCAAGCUGCUGUCACCUUACCUGAAGUAAGGAGUCCACGCCUGCAUGUCCGAGGAAAACAGUUUUCUCAAACACAUUAGUUGAAAAACUGAAGACGCUGCCUAAAAUACAAGCUGAGUUAGAGACAGCCCUUGUAAGACUAGAACACAUAAAAGCACUGUGGAAGUGGCAACAGGGAAGGUGAGAAGAGGAUUAUCAAAGACAUUGUGAUGAUAGAAUGGACAGGACUUGGUGAACUGAGUUGAUGCAGGCAGAAUCAUGAUAUUGUGUGAUUAAAGCCAUCUUGUGUCAUAUAAGGCUCAAACUGUAAUACUGGCUCUUCUCAGGUCUUGAGCCUACUUGCCUUCAGAUUGGAACUUUACCAUCUGCUCUCCUGGUUCUCAGGCCUUCAGGGGAGUCUAGAACUAUGCCACUGACUCUCCUGGUCUCCAGUUUUUCAACUUCAAAUCUUGGGAUUUAGUCUCGAUGAUCAUAAAAAGAAAUGGAAACUAAGUAACAUGAAUUAACAUAGUCCAGGGUCACAAAGCAACAUGGAACAAGAACCUGGAUCUGAAUUCAGAGGCAGAAUGCUGG
rnacentral:lncRNA from 10 species